rnacentral:misc_RNA from 1 species
UCUCCGUAGGUGAACCUGCGGAAGGAUCAUUAUUGUAUAACCGAGGUGCGAGGGCUGUCGCUGACCCGAAAGGUCGUGCACGCCCGAGUGCCCUCACACACAUCCAUCUCACCCCUAUGUGCACCACCGCGCGGGUCCCCCUUUGGCUUGUUCGGAGGGGGGCUUACGUUUUCACACAAACUUUGUAUGCAGUAUAGAAUGUAUUUUUUGUUUUUGCGAUCACGCAAUCAAUACAACUUUCAACAACGGAUCUCUUGGCUCUC